ensembl:lncRNA
UAAACAUCUGACUUGACAUCUGAUAUGCUGCAGUUGACCUCAACACAGCUCAUCUAACCUUUGGCCCGAAUAAAAGGUGUGAUAACCGAGAUGGGUCCAGUUCUGACUGAGGUUCAUAUGAAGGGACCCCAUGGCUUCCAGAUGUCACAUGAUGGCAAGCAAAGAGAAAGUCCCGUGAUACAUCUGUGGGAAAUGUACUUCACAAGAGUUCAACCAUGAGUAAGCAAAAGUAUAUUUUAACUCUUUAAAUAUAUUAAAUAUAUAUCUUUAAACAUAAUAUAUCUUAAAAAUAUAUAUAUAUAUUAAGCAGCACAACUGUUUCUAACAUUGAUAAUAAAUCAGCAUAUUAGAAUGUUUUUUGAAGGAUC